UACGGAGGGGGCGAGCGUUGUUCGGAGUUACUGGGCGUAAAGCGCACGUAGGCGGUGCGGUAAGUCAGGGGUUAAAGGCUGCAGCUCAACUGCAGUAAGGCCUUUGAUACUAUCGUGCUAGAGUGUCAGAGAGGAUGGCGGAAUUCCCGGUGUAGCGGUGAAAUGCGUAGAUAUCGGGAGGAAGGCCGGUGGCGAAGGCGGCCUCCUGGGCCUGCACUGACGCUCAUGCACGAAAGCGUGGGGAGCAAACAGG
rnacentral:rRNA from 1 species